rnacentral:lncRNA from 1 species
UGAAUUGAGGAAAAUACGUCAUUUUUUGCUGCAUGUUUAUCAAAAUUAAAAAAAAAACCUCUAUUUACAGUUUUAUAAAAUUUGGGUCACAUAAUCUCCCUGCAAAAUGAAACAAAUUGCUGUUUUGAAAAAUAGGGGUCCAUGAACUCGUUUUCAAAUUAAAUCAGUUUGAAUGAUAAAAAUCAGUCGAAAAAUGCAUCUUUUCCCGAUAUGUCACAGUUUGACGUCGCGAAAAUAACAUUUUACGUUAGCAACGUCAUUACCUCCCCUGUAACUGUAUCGUAUGCCCUUAAUACAAUCUGUCCAUUCAUGGAGAAAGUAGAUAUCUCAUUUUCUAAAAAAUCUAAGUCAUUAUCAUAGUGAGAUGAUGAAAAGGGGGGUAUAUAAAGAGCACAUAGAUAAAUAUCAUGUACAAAUCCAAAAACGUUCUUAUUCAACUUAAGCCAUAGUCUAUUUGGCGAGGUUGUUGCUUCUUUUAAAUAUGUAAUGCCUUUAAAGUAUGGCUUUUUAAUAGUAACAAUAAUGCCCCCACUAUACCUUCUUGCUUUUUUUCUUUUUUUUACGGGACUUAGAGAUAAUACAAUGGCCUUCCAAUUUAAAUUCUUUAGAUUCUCCCUUCCAGGUUUCUAAAAGUAUGUUUAUG